rfam:Selaginella moellendorffii unplaced genomic scaffold SELMOscaffold_68, whole genome shotgun sequence.
CUAACAUGUAUGCGAGUCUGUGGGUGUUAAACCCGUACAGGCGAAAGGAAACUAAUUCGUGGGAUCCCCUUCGGGGGUGCACCACGGACCGACCUUGAUCUUUUGAGAAGGGUUUGAGUGUUAGCAUACCUGCUGGGACCCGAAAGAUGGUGAACUAUGCCUGAGCAGGGCGAAGCCAGAGGAAACUCUGGUGGAGGCUCGUAGCGAUACUGACGUGCAAAUCGUUCGUCAGACUUGGGUAUAGGGGCGAAAGACUAAUCGAACCAUCUAGUAGCUGG